AAAGAUUAAGCCAUGCAUGUCUAAGUAUAAACGAUCUAAUCGUGAAACCGCGAAUGGCUCAUUAUAACAGCUAUAAUUUACUUGAUCUUGACACUAUCCUACUUGGAUAACUGUGGUAAUUCUAGAGCUAAUACAUGCAUUAAAGCUCUGACCUCACGGGAAGAGUGCACUUAUUAGAACAAAACCAAGCGGCUUCGGCUGUUUUCGGUUGACUCAUAGUAACUGAGCUGAUCGCACGGUCUUGCACCGGCGACGUGUCUUUCAAGUAUCUGCCGUAUCAACUUUCGAUGGUAGUGUAUCUGACUACCAUGGUGAUCACGCGUAACGGAGAAUAAGGGUUCGGCUCCGGAGAGUUCGCCUGAGAAAUCGCGAACACAUCUAAGGAAGGCAGCAGGCGCGAAAAUUACCCACUCUCAGCACGAGGAGGUAGUGACGAAAAAUAACGAGACCGUUCUCUUAUGAGGCCGGUCAUCGGAAUGGGUACAAUUUAAACCCUUUAACGAGUAUCUAUGAGAGGGCAAGUCUGGUGCCAGCAGCCGCGGUAAUUCCAGCUCUCAAAGUGCAUAGAAUUAUUGCUGCGGUUAAAAAGCUCGUAGUUGGAUCUGCGCCAUAGGACGUGGUCCACCUUCUGGGUGCGUACUAUGUUCCUAGGCUUUUUGCUGGUUUUCCCGUCGUAGCCUUCAUUGGUUGCGGCGGGUGGCUGGCGAGUUUACUUUGAGAAAAUCAGAGUGCUCAACACAGGCGUAUCGCUUGAAUGAUUGUGCAUGGAAUAAUAGAAAAGGAUUUCGGUCCUCUUUUAUUGGUUUUGUGGACUGAGAUAAUGGUUAACAGGGACCAACGGGGGCAUUCGUAUCGCUGCGUGAGAGGUGAAAUUCUUGGACCGUAGCGAGACGCCCUACUGCGAAAGCAUUUGCCAAGAAU
rnacentral:rRNA from 1 species